CAGCCCCUCCCCCAGCGGGAGGCGGCAGCCGCCAAGCUGCUCGCCGCCUCCCUUCGCGAGGGGUCGCUUCGCCCGCCUCUCCCGCGAGCUCGCCCCCACCCCGCGCGCUGGGCCGGUCCUAGGGGGACGCCGGCACCGAACCUACCCCGUCCUGCGUGAGACACUUCCUGCUGCCACAGCCCGGCCGGCCGGGGAGGAGGGCACAGAGAUUUGCCGUGGGCCGUAUGAAAUGAAGCAGUGGGCCAGAUCUGACCUGCAGGCCAUAGGUUCCACACUCCUGGUAUAACAUGAUCCAAUGGCUGGAAGUUGAAGAAUAUCAGGAAUAUCAAGUCUGCUUUGGAGGACUCAGAGGACUGGGAAUUUCCUCUUUACCAAC